AAUAUUAAUUUGUAUAAUUUAAUUUCGUUUGGAGCUUUUCUACAGAAAGCUAGUGAUGCUGAGAGCUAGUGUUAAGGACUAAAUGUAAAUCGUAUUAAUUUUAAAUUGAAUGAAUGACAUCUCUUACUAUUAAAAUGAGUGCACAAUUUUUGUGAAAUAGGGUGGUAACGCGGCAAAUGUCGUCCCUAUG
rnacentral:misc_RNA from 3 species